rnacentral:rRNA from 1 species
UACGGAGGGUGCAAGCGUUAUCCGGAUUCACUGGGUUUAAAGGGUGCGUAGGCGGAUAGGUAAGUCCGUGGUGAAAUCCUGCAGCUUAACUGCAGAACUGCCGUGGAUACUAUCUAUCUUGAAUAUCGUGGAGGUUAGCGGAAUAUGUCAUGUAGCGGUGAAAUGCUUAGAUAUGAAAUAGAACACCCAUUGCGAAGGCAGCUAACUACGCGAUCAUUGACGCUGAUGCACGAAAGCGUGGGGAUCAAACAGG